rnacentral:rRNA from 1 species
AUGACCAGGAGCCACACCCCGAAAUCCCUCGCCGUCCUGCUCCGUGCCAGGAUGCACCCCGACUCUAUCCCCUCGCCGCCGCCCGCUCCGUCACCCGCCGCCAGCCCCGAGCCCGGCCCCAGUGCCCGGACAGCCGCCGCCUCCUCCGUCCGCCACUGGCUCCACGCCUCAAUCGCCGCGGCCUCCCCGCCUCCCGCCGCCCUCGAGUGCUUCUCCGACGGGUACCGCUCCCUCGACCGAGGCGGCCGCCACGAGAUCCUCCGAUCCCUCGCCACAGACUACGACGUGCCCCGCGCGCGGGUUCGCGACCUCAUGCGCCAGUACGUGAGCGUCUCCGCCACCGGGGAGGGUGGGGACCAGCAGCCGGGGGCGGAGAGAGAGGAGGGCGGCGCCGCAUCGGCUUUGUACCGUAUGGAGAGGGGGCUCCGGGACGCCCUCCGGCCCAAGUACGCCGGGUUCCUCGAGGCCAUGAACGCGCAGCCUGGCGGGCUCAAGCUCCUCGCGGUCAUCCGAGCCGACCUCCUCGCCUUGCUGGGGGAGGAGAAUGCUCCAGUGCUGCGUGCAUUGGAUGGGUACUUGAAGGAGAAGCUCGUGACGUGGCUCAGCCCAGCGGCACUGGCACUCCACCAGAUAACCUGGGAUGAUCCUGCCUCCUUGCUCGAGAAGAUUGUGGCUUAUGAAGCUGUGCAUCCAAUCAGGAAUCUGAUAGACUUGAAGAGAAGGCUGGGUGUGGGCCGACGUUGUUUUGGUUACUUCCAUCCUGCGAUACCAGGGGAGCCCCUGAUUUUCAUCGAAGUUGCUCUCCUCAAAGAUAUGGCCACAUCUAUACAGGAAGUUUUGUUGGAUGUCCCUCCAAUCGCUGAAUGUGAAGCUAAAUGUGCACUGUUUUACUCAAUAUCGUCAACCCAGCCAGGCUUAUCAGGUAUUAAUCUGGGAAAGUUUCUUCUCAAGCGUGUCAUUGACAUGUUGAGAAAAGAUAUGCCUUCCGUGCAGAUUUUUGCUACUCUUAGCCCGAUACCUGGUUUCAUGCAAUGGCUUCUCGCUAAGUUGGCCUCUCAAAUAAAAUUAGCAGAGACAGAGAUGCAAGAGGGCAAUUCGAUAGAAGGUGCCAGUUCUACUUUCAGAGAAUCCAUCCUUUUCCCGGAGGAAGAGAAGAUGAUACACAGUGCCAUCGAUCAAGUCAACGGUAAACAAGGAAUUGAACUUUUGCAAGAUAUACUGAAAUCAAGUCAAUGGGCAAAGUCUGAAAAAUUAUCUGCUGCGCUGAAAUCUCCUCUUAUGCGUUUGUGUGUAAGGUAUCUUACCAGAGAGAAAAUACGAGGAAAAGCUCUAGAUGCUGUUGCUAAUUUUCACUUGCAAAAUGGAGCAAUGGUUGAGAGAAUAAACUGGAUGGCCGACCAAUCCGAGAAGGGCAUUGAACAAAGUGGAGGUAUCAUGGUCAAUUAUCUGUACAGGUUGGAGAAUAUAGAAGAAUAUGCAUCGUCUUAUUCGGCUACAGGGAUUAUCCAUACGUCAUCUAGCCUUUCCUAA